rnacentral:lncRNA from 1 species
GAUUAGCCUUUGCUUAUGCAAAGAGGAAUCUACAAGGGUACUAUUUCUCAACUAACAAAUGUUGUUUUAAGUUGAGUCAAGGUUCACCAAUCUACUAGGCUUUGAAUUUCAUGGGUAAUGUUUUGUUUUUUAGUGCAUACAAGCAUGAUUCCGCCUUUAAAUUUGUUAAUUGCAUGCUAUAGAUGUUAUUCAAAUGAACAUGUUUUCACAAAAUUUCCUUCAAGUGGUAUUAGAGCCUAGGUCUAGUAGUUGGUGAAUCCUUUUGGGUUUUGUAUUUUCAUAGUUUAUGAUUUGAAUGUUGUAAUUGUUACAAGCUUUAUUCUUGCUUCUUUGAAUGUAAAUUUUGUUAGAAAAUUUGCCAUCUCAAAUGUUGUAGAUGUAGUUCAUAUGAGCAUGAAUAUUGGAGCUAAAAUUUGGUGCCAUGUUGAUAGGAGCAUAUUUAUGCUACUUAAUUGGCUUGUUCUCAUGCAUUUAGGUUGUGUUUACUUAGCUAUUUUAGUGUUUAAAGUCACUUUUGUGUGUUUUCAGGUUCUAAGGUCAAAGUGUGCAAAAAGAAGCAAAAUGGAGUUUGGAAUGCAUGUCACAUAUUUGGAGCCAAGGUUUGGACGAAUUUGAAGGCUUGAAGAUAAUGAUUCCUACUUGAACAAGGUUUCCUAGUUGAAGUAGGAAAGUGCUUACAUGACGAAGGAUUCCUAAUUGACGAAGGAUUCCUAAUUGAAGAUGGAUUCCUAAUCACAUGAGGAUUCCUAGAAGAACAAGGAUUCCUACUCCAACAAGGUUUCCUACUUUGGUUUGAUUUUUCCUAAUUGUCCCUAAAAGUUCCAGCAAUUAUGAAGAUUUUCUAAGCAUUCUAGGACACAAAACAAAAGCCUAGAACCCUUAUGGACCCCUUGCCACACUCCCUUGCCCUUUCAUCUUCCUUGCCGUGCAAGGGAGAGGGCUCUUUCCUGUUUUGGAGCAUUAAAACACCUUCCUUUUAUUGCUUUAAACCCUGGCCGAAUUUCCUUGACCUUUCCUUUUAAUUUUCUGAUUUGUUUCCUUAAUUCUAGAAGCUUUAAACUUAAUUCCUGAUUACCUAAUUAGCCUAGGGUUUUUAAUUUCCUAAUCCCUUUAAAUAAACAGGUUUGUGCAGCCAAAAACAUCUCCAUUCAGCCACACACUCUCCCAAAUUCGUCAAAACCCAUCCACAACCUCAGAAACCAUUCCUCCUCCAUCUCUGCCGAUUUCCACCACCAUUCUUCAUAUCCACACCUUCCACACAACACCCACACACCAUCCCCAAGCCUUGCCGUGCCUCUAUACCAUCCAUAAUCCAUUCUACAUCACAAAAACAGCCCAGAAACCACACCAUCCCAAUCUGCCGCAAGGGGAAGAGAAGGAGACAGUUCACAAAGUUGUUUGGCUCUUCAAUCUGAGUUGUUGAACAAUUUUAGGUGUAUUCUAUCUUAUAUUUCAAUGUCUACUUCUUGUAAUCUUUGUUUUUCAUUGAGUAUGAUUGGCUAAAUUCGUUUUGGCUAAGGGUGUAUUCGAAACCAUGUUUAUUUAUGUGAAAUAAAUUGAUUACUUCCAGUUAUCGUUUCAUAAGUCGUGAAUACAAUUUUUAACCGUUUAAUUCAAAACUUAUUCUUGUAUGUUGAUUGAGAGUGCACACUUGAUUUGCAUGCUGGAAUUUGGUGCUAGAAUAUAAGUUUGUUUCACCUAAUCGUUAUGAAUUUAUAUUCGCAAGUAGUGAAGAUCGCUAGUCACGAUCGUGUUAAGUAGAUUCAUGGCAGGAGUAUCAUGCUUUUCAUAGUUACAAUUGCCUUGUCGAUGCUUAUGAUUUCCAAAGAACUUAAUGAUUCUAACUUGUAUCUUUAUCAUGCUGUUCAUAUAGAGAACUUGUUAGGAAUAAUUUGUUUGCGAUGCAUAUUCAUCCAAUUCAAUGAUUCUAGGGAAAUCUGAAAGUUAAUUUAAGCGAACCUAAUUAACUUGGAGUGUCGAGGUUCAUAAUUUAUUGAAUUGAUAACUGGAAAUCGAUUUACGUUGCAUAAAUUUCAUGGGUGGAGAAGAACCCCUUAGCCAUUCCAUCAUCCAUUGAUUCAUCACAUUUAGUUUACAAUCUGUUUUAAUUUACAAUCUGUGCAUUUAGUUCAAAUUCGUCCAAACACAAUUCCCCCAUAUUUUGUUAAGUUUGAGUCUUCAUAAUCUGUCCUCUUUGGUGUUUUUAAGUAUUUUGAGUCAUAAGUUUUGUCAAAUUCGUCCAAAUCUUGUCUUAGUUGCUGUUUGAGUCAAUUAACUUGUUUUAGUCAGUUUUGGGCAGAUUUGAGUGUUUCAAAUCUGUUUUGAAUCUUAGUAGUCUAAUUAGAGUCUUUAAGUUUAGUUUUUGUGUUUCUAAGUCGAUUUGUAUUAGAUUAGCACCCCUAGUUAAUCCCCGGUUAGAACGAUCCCUACUUACAUCAUUACUACAAUUGCCACAAAUAGGGUUUAAUUUGUGUGUCAAGUUAUUUUACGCAUCACAUGUUUUUGGGAAAAUUCGGCCAAAUCCAAAUGGUGGAUUUUUGGGUUCAUGUUUGACUUGUUAAAAGUGUUUUCAAGUGAUUUUGGAACCCCUAUGUACCCUAGUUUGGUUAUAUGUUAUUUCCCUUAAGUUUGAAUGGUUUUGGGUGAAAAAUGUUCAUGGAAAUUUUUGAGGUUUUCAUGAGUGUUCUUCAUUGUUCUUGACAUUUUUGCCAAGAACAAAAAGUUUGGUGUUUUGAUUCGAAGUUUUGAUUUAUUUCAUAAAGUUUAUGUUUUAUGUUUUUCUUAUGUUUAAAUGUAUUAGAUAUUUGUUUAGAAAGGUGAUGGAAUUAUUGGUGGGUGUGUAAGGAUUAAUUCCCUUUCACACACACCACUUGCACCACUUGCAUGCUUUAUGUCAAACUUACCAAUCAACACACACAUCACUCCUUUCACCUCUCCAAAACCGGCCACUCCCUCAAUGGGAGUACUUUUGGGGCUUUUAUGCAAUUACAUAAAGUUGUGAUACUUUUGUGUAUUUGCACUUUGGCUCAAAAGUUUACGUUUUUACGUUUAGGUCCAAAAACGCUAAAGGACAAAUUGUUUUGCUCCUUUGAUGAAGUUUUUACAUUUGUUGAAAUUUUUGGGUUCUAGUUGUAAUUACAUGAAGUAGUGGACUUUUGUGUUUUUACAAAGUGACCCCAAAAGUUUAUGUUUUUGCAAUAUAGCCCAAAAGUUGAGGUUAUUCCAUUUUGGCCCAAAUUAAGUUGAGAACAAAAUUGUUUUGUCUCUUUAAAUGAGAAUUGGAUUUUCAUUUCAUUUAGCUCCAUUUAAAUCAAUUUUAUGGAUACAAAAACCAAUUGAAAAUGUUGCAUUCAAUUUAAUUAGUUAAAGUGUUAAUUAAUUAAAGGGUGAUUAUGAACCUAAGCCUACGAUAAUUGAGCUAUGUGAAAGGCCGUUUCAAAUUUGUUUGAACCAUGGGAAUGUGUAGAUUAGAUUUUGUUUGUAAUUUGAUUUGAUCAAAUGUUGUAAAAGAGCAUAAGCUCUUCUUUACUUUAAAGUAAUUUGUUUUAUU